UACGAAGGGGGCUAGCGUUGUUCGGAUUUACUGGGCGUAAAGCGCACGUAGGCGGAUUGUUAAGUCAGGGGUGAAAUCCUGGAGCUCAACUCCAGAACUGCCUUUGAUACUGGCAAUCUAGAGUCCGGAAGAGGUGAGUGGAACUCCUAGUGUAGAGGUGGAAUUCGUAGAUAUUCGCAAGAACACCAGUGGCGAAGGCGGCUCACUGGCCCGAUACUGACGCUGAGGCACGAAAGCGUGGGGAGCAAACAGGG
rnacentral:rRNA from 1 species